rnacentral:snoRNA from 1 species
AAGAGAUGAUGAUGAUACACAUAGUCUUAUUGUGACGGUGAAGACAUCAGAUCCAACUCUGAUUUUGCCCCAGUA